rnacentral:lncRNA from 1 species
UGGAGUAGGAGACUUUCCUUGGUUAGUCUCUUCUUAACAAUGACAACAUUUGCUACCCACGUUGGGUAAUUGACUUCACGGAUGAAGCCUAUGCCUUUGAGUUUUUCAACUUCUGCCUUCAUUGCCUCGUACCGUUCAGCGUCAUAGGAUCUUCACUUCUGUCUCACUGGCUUGGUCUUGGGGUCAAUACUUAAGCGAUGAUAGAUGAUAUCGGGAGAGAUGCCUGGCAUGUCCUCGUAUGACCAGGCGAAGACCUCAGUGUACUCCUGUAAAAAAAAGAUUAAUGCCAACCGAAUGGGUGGUGACAAGGUGGUGCCAAUCUUCACCAUGCGAUCCGGAUAAUCUUUUGAGAUAGAGAUAUUCUCCAACUCUUCAGCGGGUUGUGCUUGCUGGGUGAAAAAGUCAUCUCGAGGAUCGUUGGGUUGACUAUUGCCACCGUGAAGAUCCAAGUUGGUUUCGUCUAUAUUGGUCUUUAUGACUUGGUCAUGUA